rnacentral:tRNA from 1 species
AUGGCUCAAAUGGUAGAGCAUAUGUUUAGCAAGCAUAAUGUCCUGAGUUCAAAAUCCCAGU